GCAUUUAGAGGCAAAAUGGCGGAGUUUAACUGAUACAUGACCUUCUUCUGGGAACACUUGACUGUUCUUCAAGAUGCCAAGAACAUGGACACCUUCUACCAGCCAGGAGGAAGAGAGACCAUCAAGCUUCAGAUGAUCAUGCAACAAAGGUUCCAGCCAGUUGCAGGUGAAGACACCACCUCCAGCAGUAAAGAAGCUACCCCACCUCCACUAGACAGAGCAGG